rnacentral:lncRNA from 1 species
CAGAGAGAGAGGAUCUGUAUUCAUAAGGCAGCUGAAAGGAUUCUGGUGUGGGUUGUCUAUAGGGGAUACAACAGGAAUUAGGCAGGCCAUGCUUACACGUGUCUCAACUCUGCAAAGCCUGCCAACGGCACUUAGAGGAAAUACGUAAGAGGAAGCAAAAGCUAGAAGUGUUCAGGUACAGGCUGGGCUACAAAUAUAAGCCAGCCAGACCAGGGAUGGGGAGUGAGCAGGAGGGAGGUCUCAUGACGGAGACUCUCAGUGUGGCUAUUUGUCAAACCACAGCACAGGGUUCCAGGUGGGCACACUACCUGAUGCCUAAAUACUCUGUCGGUGCUUGGAGAGCCUUCUUGUGGGUAUGAGACAGCCAUAGAGAGCAACCCAGCCAGCAACGAAUGUCUUCGUUCUGAGGCAGGAACUCCGGCUUUCUCUUAGAGGCAGCACAUGCUGAAUUCAAACACCGCACUUGGUAUAUCGCAGUAUUAGGUUCAGGUCCCAACUUUAUGGGUCUCUCUGAGUAAGUGGGAGUAAGCUAUAUAUUUACCCCGUGCCUCAGAUUCCUCACCCGGUAAAGGAGGACAACAAUACCUACAACAGAGGGUUCUUAUGAAGAUUGCAAAAUCAGAAGUACAUGCAAAGCAUUUCCCCUGGCCUAGGGAGCAAGGCCCCAUUAGCUGUGGUCUUCAUUAUCAUGGAAGCUCCUCCCAUCCUCCCCCCACAGACACUCUCUGAAGCUGGCUUUGUACAAUUUAAGCACAUGAAGAAUCGACUUUUAAACUAUAAAUAUCUUCAUCCCCAGUUCCCAGAAAGCUUUUGGUUCUCUGUCUCUCUCUAUUUCUGUCUGCCUGUUUUCUCGGUCUAUCUCUUUCUGUCUGUCUGACUGUCUAUCUCUGUGUCUUUCUAUGUCUCUCACUCUCUCUGAUGUCUCUCUCUGUGUCUCUGCUUCCCCCUGUCUCUCUGUCUCCUUUUUUUCCACAAGCCCUUGCAGUCUGCAAUUUAGGAUAGGCAUGGCUUCCAAAGUCACCAUCCUGAUCAUCCUGAGCAUCAAAGUGACCCCUCCUGUGGACAUUUGCCUCACUCCAGGGAUAUAUAAAGAGGUGCUCAGCAGAUGAGGACCAGACCUUUGCAACCGAAAAUUCAACUUUAAAGUUCCAAAGAUCUGUCCCAGGAAGGCUGGAGGGCUGUGUGAUCUACAAGGUGAGACAGGGAAUUUCAAGGUUGGAAUCAAAGGCUCCUGAGCAGAUGGAAAAAAAAAAGAAACAUAGGUAUGCAGCCACCCAGACAACAGCCAGUUAACCCUUCCUUUCCCAAGCCCACUGUUGGACUUUAUGAGAGUCUCAGUCUCUGAAUAGGUAUGCCUCAGUUUCUCCUGCAAGCAUGCUGUGACACAUGGCAAACUUAACUUCUUUUACAUGCUAUAUAAUAUCAAGAGCAAUAAGAUAGUAUUAUUUUAUUGGUUCUAUAUUCUGUUUAAUUUUUUGCGGGGGGAACACAAGACCUUGCUAUGUACCCCAGGUCGGAUUGAAAGUCAUAAUUCUCCUGCCUCAGUCACCCAAGUGUUGCAAUUAUAGGCGUGAGUCAUCCAUCAUUUCUAAUUCUGAUUUUCUUCUCUGACUAUCAGUGGUGAAGAGCUGAGUAAGUAAGAGUUGCUGUUACUCAGCUGGUGAAGUAGCUGGGUGGAUUAGGGGUUUGCACAAAGCCUGACCACCCCAACUUUGACUCACUGGGACCCAGUGGUGGAAGGAGUGAACUGACUUCUGCAAGCUGUCUCCUGACCACCGCCUAUAUGUGUGCCCACACGUGCACAGAUGAAGAAAUAAAAAUGUAAUCAAAAUC